ACUAACACAGACACUCACAGACACACACAGCGAGACAACACAGAGAUACAGAUGACACACACACACUCACAGACAUAUACAGCGAGACAACACAGAGAUAGAGGACACACAGACACACUCGCAGACACACAUGGAGAUAGAGACAGAGGCACAGACACAGACAUACACCAACACAGACACAAGCAGAAACACAGACACAGACACACACACACACACAAGGAGAUGCACAGAGACACAGACACACACACACACACCAACACAGACACAAGCAGAUGCAGAGACACAGACACACACACAUAGACACACACCAACACAGACACACAGAGACACAGGCACAUAUACACACACCAACAUAGACACAAGCAGAUACAGAGACACACACACACACGCACAGACACCAACACAGAUACAAGGAGAUACACAGAGACACAGGCACACACACACACAGACACACCAACACAGGCACAAGCAGAUACACAGAGACACAGGCAUACACAGAGACACACCAACACAGACACAUGCAGAUUGUGUGAGACAGACACACGUGCACACAAACUUCACCAACACGCACACACCCAAUAAUGAUAAAUGCUUCUCCACUUCUGUGUUUUGGUGACACUAAUAAUCUUGUACUUUCUUUGACACAGUAGCCCAUUUUCUGUUCAAAAGCAACAGAAAAAUAUGUCAUCUAGUUUACUGUUUUUAGAAUUGUAGGAUAUUUUUGUUUCAGCCUCAAUAAAAUUACUUCUAAGUCCUUCUAAGUUUUGAGUGUCUUCUAAUUUCUUCAUUCCUCUAAUGAAAGGUCCGGUCAUGUGUAGAUAUCACCCCUGUGGGGACCCCCUCACAUUGCACCUGACCUUGGCUGUGCUGCUGUCUGCCUGUGGAUGGAGUGGAUUGACAACGGUGGCAUUCACAUGAUGAGAAAAAUGCUCCUGGGGCCGCGCUCCUGGCGAAUGGCUUUGGAAAUCAACAAAACACAGUCCCACUUUUGUCUGUGACCAGUCUUCAUGGCAUAUCAGUUAGAGUGGUGUGCUAAAUUUUGAGACCAGGUGGACAGAAGUGAGUUAAAUGUUUUCAAGUGAUCAAUAAAGACAAAUACCUUUAUUGGGUACUCAUCUCAAGCUCUAGGAAUGGAAAAAUACAAAGAUGCGUAGUCCGUAUUACUCCUUCAAGGAGUUUAAUAAUUAAUUGAACAUAAAAUUCCUAUAUAUGUGUAUAAAUACAUAUAUUUUAAUACCUACACAAUGAAAACAUCAUUGUGUAGCAAGUAGUCCUGUAGGAAGGUUAAAACCUUGUUUUCAUCCUUAUCUUAUUUUUCUCACCUCUCGUAAUCCAAACUAUUGAAGGACAUUGUUGAAGCGAGUAACAAGGACUAAAGGACCAGAAGGUCACAAAAAAGAAUGCAUCACUGAAGAAAUAAAAAACUAAAUAAAUGACUCAACUUUUUCUCACAAAGCUAGUCAAUAAAUUCAAUGUUUUAAAUGUGACCUGUGGACACCAUUUAGACAGGUUUAGAAAUAUUGUAUGUUGUUGAAUCUGAGUCUGAAUGGAUUCAAUGACCUUGUGAAGGAAACAAUGACCCCUAUUUUGUCUAGUGAAACAUGUAGCAUUUACAAGCAGAACCUACUCCAAUUAAAAUAGAACUAAAAUUAAAUUACUUAAGCAUCCAGCAUACUAAAAAAACUAAAAUCAUCAUUUUACUCACAAGGUAGAAUCAACCUAAGUUAUUUAUCUCUGUAUCCAAUCCUUAAAUACUUCGU
rnacentral:lncRNA from 1 species